rnacentral:rRNA from 1 species
UGGGGAAGUAUUGCACAAUGGGCGGCAAGCCUGAUGCAGCCAUGCCGCGUGUAUGAAGAAGGCCUUCGGGUUGUAAAGUACUUUCAGCGAGGAGGAAGGUGUUGUGGUUAAUAACCACAGCAAUUGACGUUACUCGCAGAAGAAGCACCGGCUAACUCCGUGCCAGCAGCCGCGGUAAUACGGAGGGUGCAAGCGUUAAUCGGAAUUACUGGGCGUAAAGCGCACGCAGGCGGUCUGUCAAGUCGGAUGUGAAAUCCCCGGGCUCAACCUGGGAACUGCAUCCGAAACUGGCAGGCUAGAGUCUUGUAGA